UCCUACGGGGGGCAGCAGUGAGGAAUAUUGGUCAAUGGGCUUACGCCUGAACCAGCCAAGUCGCGUGAGGGAAGACUGCCCUAUGGGUUGUAAACCUCUUUUGUCAGGGAGCAAUUGGCGCUACGUGUAGCGUUAUCGAGAGUACCUGAAGAAAAAGCAUCGGCUAACUCCGUGCCAGCAGCCGCGGUAAUACGGAGGAUGCGAGCGUUAUCCGGAUUUAUUGGGUUUAAAGGGUGCGUAGGCGGAAUGCCAAGUCAGCGGUAAAAUCGCGGGGCUCAACUUCGCUCCGCCGUUGAAACUGGCGU
rnacentral:rRNA from 1 species